UACAUGGGGUGCAAACGUUGCUCGGAAUUAUUGGGCGUAAAGGGCUCGUAGGCGCCAACUAAGUCAGACGUGAAAUCCCUCGGCUUAACCGGGGAACUGCAUCUGAUACUGGUUGGCUUGAGUGCAGGAGAGGAACGCGGAAUUCCAGGUGUAGCGGUGAAAUGCGUAGAUAUCAGGAGGAACACCGGUGGCGAAGGCGGGUCUCUGGGCAUUUCCUGACGCUGGAGGCGCGAAAGCGUGGGGAGCAAACGGG
rnacentral:rRNA from 1 species